ensembl:rRNA 5S_rRNA 5S ribosomal RNA
GUCUCAGGCCAUAUCAGCCUGAAGGCGCCCGAUCUCGUCUGAUCUCGGAAGCUAAGCAGGGUCGGGCCUGGUUAGGAUCUUGGAUGGGAGACCACCUGGGAAUCCCGGGUGCUCGAGGCU